GACGAACGCUGGCGGCGUGCUUAACACAUGCAAGUCGAACGAAGAGCGAUGGAAGCUUGCUUCUAUCAAUCUUAGUGGCGAACGGGUGAGUAACGCGUAAUCAACCUGCCCUUCAGAGGGGGACAACAGUUGGAAACGACUGCUAAUACCGCAUACGAUCUAAUCUCGGCAUCGAGGAUGGAUGAAAGGUGGCCUCUAUUUAUAAGCUAUCACUGAAGGAGGGGAUUGCGUCUGAUUAGCUAGUUGGAGGGGUAACGGCCCACCAAGGCGAUGAUCAGUAGCCGGUCUGAGAGGAUGAACGGCCACAUUGGGACUGAGACACGGCCCAGACUCCUACGGGAGGCAGCAGUGGGGAAUCUUCCGCAAUGGACGAAAGUCUGACGGAGCAACGCCGCGUGAGUGAUGACGGCCUUCGGGUUGUAAAGCUCUGUUAAUCGGGACGAAAGGCCUUCUUGCGAAUAGUAGAAGG
rnacentral:rRNA from 1 species